rnacentral:rRNA from 1 species
AUUGAACGCUGGCGGCAGGCUUAACACAUGCAAGUCGAGCGGAGUGAUGGUGCUUGCACUAUCACUUAGCGGCGGACGGGUGAGUAAUGCUUAGGAAUCUGCCAUUUAGAGGGGGACAACAUUCCGAAAGGAAUGCUAAUACCGCAUACGUCCUACGAGAGAAAGCAGGGUAUCUUCCGACCUUGCGCUAAAGUAUGAGCCUAAGGCGGAUUAGCUAGUUGGUGGGGUAAAGGACUACCAAGGCGACGAUCUGUAGCGGGUCUGAGAGGAUGAUCCGCCACACUGGGACUGAGACACGGCCCAGACUCCUACGGGAGGCAGCAGUGGGGAAUAUUGGACAAUGGGCGGAAGCCUGAUCCAGCCAUGCCGCGUGUGUGAAGAAGGCCUUUUGGUUGUAAAGCACUUUAAGCGAGGAGGAGGCUACUAGUACUAAUACUACUGGAUAGUGGACGUUACUCGCAGAAUAAGCACCGGCUAAUUCUGUGCCAGCCGCCGCCGUAACAC